rnacentral:rRNA from 1 species
UCUACGGGGGGCAGCAGUGGGGAAUAUUGGACAAUGGGCGAAAGCCUGAUCCAGCCAUGCCGCGUGUGUGAAGAAGGCCUUCGGGUUGUAAAGCACUUUCAGUGGGGAAGAAAGCCUUGGGGCUAAUACCCUCGAGGAAGGACAUCACCCACAGAAGAAGCACCGGCUAACUCCGUGCCAGCAGCCGCGGUAAUACGGAGGGUGCGAGCGUUAAUCGGAAUUACUGGGCGUAAAGCGCGCGUAGGCGGUCUGAUAAGCCGGUUGGGAAAGCCCCGGGCUCAACCUGGGAACGGCAUCCGGAACUGUCAGGCUAGAGUGCAGGAGAGGAAGGUAGAAUUCCCGGUGUAGCGGUGAAAUGCGUAGAGAUCGGGAGGAAUACCAGUGGCGAAGGCGGCCUUCUGGACUGACACUGACGCUGAGGUGCGAAAGCGUGGGUAGCAAACAGGAUUAGAUACCCGAGUAGUC